rnacentral:rRNA from 1 species
AAAUUGAAGAGUUUGAUCAUGGCUCAGAUUGAACGCUGGCGGCAGGCCUAACACAUGCAAGUCGAACGGUAACAGGAAACAGCUUGCUGUUUCGCUGACGAGUGGCGGACGGGUGAGUAAUGUCUGGGAAACUGCCUGAUGGAGGGGGAUAACUACUGGAAACGGUAGCUAAUACCGCAUAACGUCGCAAGACCAAAGAGGGGGACCCUCGGGCCUCUUGCCAUCGGAUGUGCCCAGAUGGGAUUAGCUUGUUGGUGGGGUAACGGCUCACCAAGGCGACGAU